rnacentral:rRNA from 1 species
AGUGUUCGAUUGCGGCGACGUGGGCGGUUCGCUGCCUGCGACGUUGUGAGAAGUCCACUGAACCUUAUCAUUUAGAGGAAGGAGAAGUCGUAACAAGGUUUCCGUAGGUGAACCUGCGGAAGGAUCAUUG